GACGAACGCUGGCGGCAGGCCUAACACAUGCAAGUCGAACGAGUGGCGGACGGGUGAGUAAUGUCUGGGAAACUGCCCGAUGGAGGGGGAUAACUACUGGAAACGGUAGCUAAUACCGCAUACCAUCGGAUGUGCCCAGAUGGGAUUAGCUAGUAGGUGGGGUAACGGGUCACCUAGGCGACGCUCCCUAGCGGGUCUGAGAGGAUGACCGGACACACUGGAACUUGUGCACGGGUCAGAGUCCUGAGUGAGGCAGCAGUGGGGAAUGGUGGACAAUGGGCGCGAGCCUAAUGCAGGAAGGCGGGGGGUAGGAAGAAGGCCGUAGGGUUGUAAGUUACAAUCAGCUAUGGGGGGUUAGGUGGAGAAGAAGCACCGGCUAACUACGUGCCAGCAGCCGCGGUAAUUC
rnacentral:rRNA from 1 species